rnacentral:rRNA from 1 species
GGAUGCGAUCAUAUCAGCACUAAAGCACCGGAUCCCAUCAGAACUCCGAAGUUAAGCGUGCUUGGGCGAGAGUAGUACUAGGAUGGGUGACAGGCGAGAGUAGUACUAGGAUGGGUGACCUCCGGGGAAGUCCUCGUGUUGCAUUCC